UACGAAGGGUCCAAGCGUUGUUCGGAAUCAUUGGGCGUAAAGCGCGCGCAGGCGGAUCAGUAAGUCAGGUGUGAAAUCUCGAAGCUCAACUUCGAAAUUGCGCCUGAAACUACUAGUCUAGAAUGUCGGAGGGGGCAGGGGAAUUUCACGUGUAGGGGUAAAAUCCGUAGAGAUGUGAAGGAACACCGGUGGCGAAGGCGGCUCUCUGGUCCAAUCCUGACGCUGAGGUGCGAAAGCUAGGGGAGCAAACGGG
rnacentral:rRNA from 1 species